UAUUUAAGCCCUUACCUCUGUGUCAGUCUUUGUUUAUGUUUGAUGUAUUCACUGUCUGUUUGCUUGUUUCCCUGGUUUUGUCUGGAACCGGAUGUGCUGACAUGGAUGAGCCCAGGGCUGCAAUACUUCCACAGACCCAGACAACGUUAUCCACUCUCCUGCCCCUCCUGGACUACAUAUCCCAGCUUCCCAUGCUUCUUCCAGUGCCUGCUCUCCUGUGGCUUCCCAGUGCGAUCUUCUUUUCCAAGCGCCACCUGACUGCUAUAGGCAUCCUCCAGGACCGCGUAGCCCUGGGAGGUGUAGCUAGCCUCACAUAAAUGGCGACUGUCACCGUGAAGAUGAAUAGUCCCAGGUGGCACACAGGCUGGUCCAGGGAUAGAGCUUCCCAAACGAGGGCACCUCCGCUACGGGGUAGAGGGUCUUGGACGCCUGACCCACCGUCAGCUCGUACCCCCACAUGUCGGCUGUUGACCUCACGGUCAGGGUGGCGCUGUUGCUCAUGGUCAUGGUGAAGAGGGCAGUACCGGGCACAGAUUCACUGAUGAUGCGCAGGCAAACAGUGAACGCCCGGGUGUCUUGGUAAUGGGGGAAGCCCUACACUACACUCCCAGAUAUCACACUGAACAUGCGGCCAGUCAGGUCUAUGCACAGCAACACACAAACAAACAUACAUACAUGCAUACAUGCAUACAUGCAUACAGUAUCAGUUCUCAUAAUGUACAGCUAUUAUACUGUAUCUAAAAAUAACAAAUGUGGCUUAAUACUUAAGAUAUAAAGAAUAAGAUAUAAUAUUAUAAUGAACACAUAAUGAUCUCAUACACACAAAUACACACUCUUGGGAACAUAUGAAUAAAUAUACACAUGUACACAUUGAAAGUUAUACUGGUUAGGUGUUUGUAUGUGACUUGUUUUUUUGUUACCUUGACCUGCGGAAGGGCUUGAUCCGGGCAUCUCCAAUCUGUGUUUUAAUAGGAACAAUGUGGAUUACAUUACAAACCAUAAAAUUACCCUUUGGGAAAUCC